GAUGACCAACGAUGGUGACAAUGCUGGUGACAAUGACAAUGACCAACAAAGGUGACAUUGACCAACGAUGGUGACGAUGAUGAUGACCAACGACGGUGACGAUGAUGAGCCGUGGCAACGGCCAACAAUGACAACAGUGAUGAUGAUGACAGUGCCAGAUGAUGAAGAUGACGAUGACACCAAUGACGUUGACAAUGACACCAAUGACGAUGAUGACACCAAUGAUGGUGACAAUGACACCGAUGACGAUGAUGAUGACAAUGAUGUUGACAAUGACACCAAUGAUGACAAUGACACUGAUGAUGAUGACAAUGACGAUGAAGAAGACGACACCGAUGAUGACAAUGACGAUGACACCGAUGACGACAAUGAUGACAAUGACACUGAUGAUGACAAUGACACCGAUGACGAUGAUGACACCGAUGAUGUUGACAAUGACACCAAUGAUGACAAUGACACUGAUGAUGAUGACAAUGACGAUGAAGACAAUGACACCGAUGAUGAUGAUGACGAUGACACCGAUGAUGACAAUGAUGACAAUGACACUGAUGAUGAUGACAAUGACGAUGGAGACCAGGAUGACACCAAUGGUGAUGGUGAUGAUGACAAUGACAAUGAAGACAACAAUGACACUGAUGAUGAUGAUGAUGAUGAAGAUGACACCAAUGACGACGAUGAUGACAAUACCAGUGAAGACCAUGACGAUGAUGAUGAAGAUGACACCGACGAUGAUGAAAAUGACACCAAUGAUGGUGACGAUGAAGACGAUGCUGACACCAAUGACGACGAUGAUGACAAUGACGGUGAAGACACGAUGACACCGAUGAUGAUGAUGACAAUGAAGAUGACACCAAUGAUGAUGACAAUGACGAUGAUGAUGACGACGAUGAAGAUGACACCAAUGAUGAUGAAGAUGACACCAAUGACGAUGAUGAAGAUGACACCAAUGAUGAUGAAGAUGACACCAAUGACGAUGAUGA
rnacentral:lncRNA from 1 species